rnacentral:rRNA from 1 species
UAACCAGACUCCUACGGGAGGCAGCAGUGGGGAAUAUUGGGCAAUGGGCGCAAGCCUGACCCAGCAACGCCGCGUGAAGGAAGAAGGCUUUCGGGUUGUAAACUUCUUUUCUCAGGGACGAAGAAAGUGACGGUACCUGAGGAAUAAGCCACGGCUAACUACGUGCCAGCAGCCGCGGUAAUACGUAGGUGGCAAGCGUUAUCCGGAUUUACUGGGUGUAAAGGGCGUGUAGCCGGGCUGACAAGUCAGAUGUGAAAUCCGGGGGCUCAACCCCCGAACUGCAUUUGAAACUGUUGGUCUUGAGUAUCGGAGAGGCAGGCGGAAUUCCUAGUGUAGCGGUGAAAUGCGUAGAUAUUAGGAGGAACACCAGUGGCGAAGGCGGCCUACUGGACGGUGACUGACGCUGAGGCUCGAAAGCGUGGGGAGCAAACAGGAUUAGAUACCCUUGUA